GCUUUUCCUGGCACCGACAGAUCCACAGAUAGGAAAAUACAAGAAGAGAGGCAAGGAGCACCGACCAACCGUGCUGCACAUUUGUUUUCUUCUUCCACGCAGAGGUGGAAUGCCAGGAUGCACGCACGCACUCCGCUUUGGACUAAGCAUGCCCUGCUUAACUAAGAGUUCUUAUUAUGCAAACGACUGUUUUUUUUAUAGCACAGUACUACUAGUAGUAGUUACGUGUUUGAUUACUUUUUUUUGAAUUUGAUUGAUUGCCUGUUAUUUUAUGUCGACGGCAAGUUGGCCUUUGAACACAAACAAGAGCCACACACACACACACACCAUUACUGUCAGCAGAUAAUGACAUGUCUCAGAUAAGUGAUUAGAUAACAAACCCACACACAUGACACAUACUCCUCUCUCUCUCUCUCAGCAUCCAAGCAGUGGCUGGCUAGCCGCAUUCUCUUCCAAAAGAAAGCAGACGGUGGACUGGUGGUGGAGGGGAGGGGAGCGAGGCCGCGAGCUCCGGCCUGAAGGCGCCGGCCUCCUUCCCCGAGCUCAAGCAUCCAUCAACCCUACUUAUGUCUGCCAAUGGAGUCAUCUACAACUGAUGCCAGUGAUAAGCAUUUGGAGAGCUACCUGACAUUGGGUUUGACAGUAUCACAGUCAAAGAAAAGAGAUAGUAAAGUUCCAAAGGUCCUGUCGCUUCUUGCAACAUAUCUUUGCAGAGCAGUUCAGAAGAAUGAAAAGUUACUAGAUUCUAAAAAAGUAAAGGAGUCGACCACUAUUUUUCAUGGCCAAAGGAUACCAGAUCUUAGUAUACAGCUCUACGCGGAACGCAUUUUCAAGUAUGCUGAGUGCAGUCCAUCCUGCUUUGUGUUGGCACUUGUCUACAUGGAGAGAUAUCUACAGCAGCCACAUGUAUACAUGACACCCUUUAGUGUUCAUCGCUUGCUAAUUACAAGUGUGGUGGUUGCUGCCAAAUUCACGGAUGAUGCGUUUUUCAACAAUGCAUUCUACGCUAGAGUAGGAGGAAUCAGCACAAUCGAGAUGAAUCGGCUUGAGCUGGAUUUGUUGUUUAACCUGGACUUCAGGCUGAAAGUGAACCUGGAGACAUUUGGGAGCUACUGCUUGCAGCUGGAGAAACAUGCAAUGGCUUCACCAGAGAGACUGCCAGUUCAGCUUCUCUGUGUCAACGGAUCUAAAGAUUUGAGCUAUGGCAGUAGCGCUGAUGAGUUUUGUCAGAGCAAGCUGGUGCGACAAAGUUACAGCAGUCAGGCUCUCCAAGGAUGCAGCUGACCAAGUUAUUUGCGGCCUACGGUUUUGCGACCUGAUUACUGAUUAUUCUUUUAGAUUUGACAUUUGUUCAUUCAGAUUACGUUAAGUGGUUCUGGAGUGUUUGAUUAGUAGGGCAUCAAUUCUAUUUUACUUCUACAUCACAGGAGUUCGAAAAGAACAGGUCUGGACAUUAGUCAGUCCUAUGAGAACCGCUGUUGUGUAAUUGGACCUUUUGCCAAGUAUCCUAUUAGCAGAUGAACAAUAUUCAGUCGUAUGAGAACAACCGUGAUGUAAUCUGGCUUUUUCCAUGAUUAUGUUCGUUCUUUC